UGAACGCUGGCGGCAUGCCUUACACAUGCAAGUCGAGCGGCAGCGCGGGGGCAACCCUGGCGGCGAGCGGCGAACGGGUGAGUAAUACAUCGGAACGUGUCCAGUAGUGGGGGAUAACCAGUCGAAAGAUUGGCUAAUACCGCAUACGAUCCACGGAUGAAAGCGGGGGACUCGCAAGGGCCUCGCGCUAUCGGAGCGGCCGAUGUCGGAUUAGCUUGUUGGCGGGGUAAAAGCCCACCAAGGCGACGAUCCGUAGCUGGUCUGAGAGGACGACCAGCCACACUGGAACUGAGACACGGUCCAGACUCCUACGGGAGGCAGCAGUGGGGAAUUUUGGACAAUGGGGGAAACCCUGAUCCAGCCAUGCCGCGUGAGUGAAGAAGGCCUUCGGGUUGUAAAGCUCUUUCGGCGGGGACGAAACGGUCCGUGACAACACCACGGACUAAUGACGGUACUCGCAGAAGAAGCACCGGCUAACUACGUGCCAGCAGCCGCGGUAAUACGUAGGGUGCAGGCGUUAAUCGGAAUUACUGGGCGUAAAGCGUGCGCAGGCGGCCUCUUAAGUCAGAUGUGGAAUCCCCGGGCUUAACCUGGGAACUGCG
rnacentral:rRNA from 1 species